UACGUAGGGUGCGAGCGUUGUCCGGAAUUAUUGGGCGUAAAGAGCUCGUAGGCGGCUUGUCGCGUCGGAUGUGAAAGCCCGGGGCUUAACUCCGGGUCUGCAUUCGAUACGGGCUGGCUAGAGGUAGGUAGGGGAGAACGGAAUUCCUGGUGUAGCGGUGAAAUGCGCAGAUAUCAGGAGGAACACCGGUGGCGAAGGCGGUUCUCUGGGCCUUACCUGACGCUGAGGAGCGAAAGCGUGGGGAGCGAACAGG
rnacentral:rRNA from 1 species